rnacentral:lncRNA from 7 species
AUCUCAUCCAAGCACCACCACUGUAGAUCAUCAGGGCGUUUUGUCACGCUCGCCGGAAUCACGUGGGCCACCGCGGACCUGUGGGCGAGGAUUGGAUUUGCUGUUGUCAAUCCACGCUCGUGCCGCCGUCGGAUUCUCGGGGCCGGGACUGGGAGCUUCGUCGUAUUCCCCUGAUGGUGCUAGUGGCCACCUCAUGCGUGGCGUGACUGGGGGGCGCGACGAAUUGCUCGCCGAUGAGAAGGCCGCCAGGAAGCCACUGGGUCGCGUAGACCGGACAGUCCCGUUGCUCGAUCUAAGGUGAAAACUUAUCCAAGCUGUUGGUCAUGCCCGUCUCCCCCUAUCGCUCUAUUCGGAUCGAAUUUUGGAGCACCAUGGUCGUGGCGUGCUACUCCGGCGGGGGCGCCGUCGCCCUGAGCAACUGCUGCAUCGGGGUCACGGCUAGGGAAAGAAGACGAUGCGCGGGCCGUCUGAUUGUUGUUGGGCGGUGGUGAUUAGAUCACAUAGUAAUAGAACCCGAGCCUUCAGAUUGAAAUCAUGCAGUAGUUAUUAAAUCAGGCGCAUACCGAUUCAGGAUCGGAUCCAAGCCAUCGAUCGUCUAAUCAGCGGCUCCGGUGAACUCAACCACUCAGUUCUGCGCUCAUCUUACAAACAAGCCCCUGGGUUUCACCGAAAUGAACCCGCCGUCCUGGUGAGAGUAGGGGAAAUUCAGUUUUGGUCCUAAAAGUUACAUGCUACACCCUGUAGUUUUUCAAAAUAUUAGCAGUAGUCCGCUGAUUGCUGUUAUUUGAUAAAAUUAAUCCAAAAAUGACUUCUAGUGUAUAAAUAAUUCCAGAACCUUGUAAAAUUCAUAAUUAAUUCAUUUUAACUUCUUUUUGGU